AAGUGGGGAUGACGUCAAGUCCUCAUGGCCUUUAUGCCCAGGGCUACACACGUGCUACAAUGGGUGGUACAAAGAGCAGCGACCUCGCGAGAGUAAGCAAAUCUCAAAAAGCCAUCCUCAGUUCGGAUUGAAGUCUGCAACUCGACUUCAUGAAGUCGGAAUCGCUAGUAAUCGCGGAUCAGAACGCCGCGGUGAAUACGUUCUCGGGUUU
rnacentral:rRNA from 1 species